rnacentral:rRNA from 1 species
UACGUAGGGGCCCAGCGUUGUCCGGAUUCAUUGGGCGUAAAGCGCGCGCAGGCGGCCCGGUGUGCCGCCCGUGAAAUCCCCCGGCUCAACCGGGGGGGGUCGGGCGAGACUGUCGGGCUGGAGGCGGGUAGGGGGCAGCGGAAUUCCCGGUGUAGUGGUGGAAUGCGUAGAGAUCGGGAGGAACACCCGUGGCGAAGGCGAUGGCCUGGACCUCGAGCUGACGCUGAGGCGCGAAAGCGUGGGGAGCGAUCCGG